CAAAACCCGGAGCCGGUUCUGUAACGUCUACAACUCUUCGAACUUGAUAGGCUCCGCCGUUGGGAGUCUCUGAGACUCCACCAAAAUUAGAGGCAGCCGGAGGAUUCCUCUUCCAACCUUGGUAGUCAGCUCCUCUAUCAUUGAGAAAGGCGGAUAUCUUGUCUUCAUCCAUUUCCAUGAGAGAUUCGGUUAGCUCCUGAUGUCCCCUGACAAAGUUGAGAUCAUCAUCGGAUCUCAACAGUUGAAUUGGGCCACGCCGCAAUAUCAUCCUUCUGAGGGCUCCGAUGAAAGAUGAAGUGUCCAUGGAAUGAGCGAUUUCAAUGUCGAUUGAUCUUUUUUUUUUUUUGGUUUGGUUUUUCACGGGCUUUUCUAACCGCUACAGGGAAUGUAAUCCCCAGUACUAUUAAAAUGAAAG